rnacentral:rRNA from 1 species
CAGUAGCCGCGGUAAGACAGAGGAUGCAAGCGUUAUCCGGAAUGAUUGGGCGUAAAGCGUCUGUAGGUGGCUUUUCAAGUCCGCCGUCAAAUCCCAGGGCUCAACCCUGGACAGGCGGUGGAAACUACCAAGCUAGAGUACGGUAGGGGCAGAGGGAAUUUCCGGUGGAGCGGUGAAAUGCGUUGAGAUCGAAAAGAACACCAACGACGAAAGCACUCUGCUGGGUCGACACUGACACUGAGAGACGAAAGCUAGGGGAGCAAAUGGGAUUAGAUACCCCCGUAGUCCCUGUCUCUUAUAC